UCCCCCACCUCAUCCACCUCUGACUGUGGAGAGGGGAAGAAGAGAUGUUGGGCUAAUAGUUUCCAAGGGCCACAGUUCCUCCCUCUCCCCUCCUUUUUAUCCACACAUCUGUUUCCUGAGCCAGCUCACAAAAGCUUCCCUAAGUCAGGACUUGCCUGCGCUCUUCCACAGGACCUACCAAAGAGUGAACAUUUCAGGACCCGGAGUCCCCUGCUAUCCAGCUAAUCAGGUUAUCCAAAAAACUGGUGCUGGGGAAAGCAUAUGGGAUUUGCAGAGAAGAAAGAACCAGAGGAUCUUGGGCAAGAUGAAGACAGCUGGUGAGACAUGGACUGGAUAGCUGUUUGCCGUUUUGCUGUUUGCCUCCUUGUCACGACCUCAGCGACGGCAGAUGGAGCCAGUGGAGGGAGAGAGACAGACGGCAAUGCUUGGGUAGCCAGGGCUCCCUGCCGGCCCCACUCCUCCUG
rnacentral:lncRNA from 1 species